UACAGAGGCCUCGAGCGUUAGGCGGAAUCACUGGGCUUAAAGCGUGUGUAGGCGGAGUGCUAAGUACCUUGUGAAAUCCCACAGCUCAACUGUGGAAUUGCUUGGUAUACUGGCAUUCUUGAGCCAUCUAGGGGCGAGCGGAACAAAUGGUGGAGCGGUGAAAUGCGUAGAUAUCAUUUGGAACGCCAACGGUGAAAACAGCUCGCUGGGGAUGUGCUGACGCUGAGACACGAAAGCCAGGGGAGCAAACGGG
rnacentral:rRNA from 1 species